rnacentral:rRNA from 1 species
CCUACGGGUGACAGCAGUGAGGAAUAUUGGUCAAUGGACGCGAGUCUGAACCAGCCAUGCCGCGUGCAGGAAGACGGCUCUAUGAGUUGUAAACUGCUUUUGUACGAGGGUAAACUCAGAUACGCGUGUCUUUCUGUAAGUAUCUUACGAAUAAGGAUCGGCUAACUCCGUGCCAGCAGCCGCGGUAAUACGGAGGAUUCAAGCGUUAUCCGGAUUUAUUGGGUUUAAAGGGUGCGUAGGCGGUCGGAUAAGUUAGAGGUGAAAUCCCGAGGCUCAACUGCGGAAUUGCCUCUGAUACUGUUAGGCUAGAGAGUAGUUGCGGUAGGCGGAAUGUAUGGUGUAGCGGUGAAAUGCUUAGAGAUCACAAAGAACACCGAUUGCGAAGGCAGCUUACCAAGCUACGUCUGACGUUGAGGCACGAAAGCGUGGGGAGCAAACAGGAUUAGAUACCCCAGUAGUC